rnacentral:misc_RNA from 1 species
GUUAUGAAUGAAAUCGAAACAACUCCGUUUUGGAUUCUUAGACUUUAUGAAUGAUGACAUGACAUAUCAAUCGAAUGUCACAUGACGACAUUGAAAAUGAAAAUGUUGACAUCACUAGAUACGUGAACACAGGUCGAUUGAAAUAGACAUCAGUAUGCAGGGUUUGUCUAGACAGAGGAGUGAGGAUGGCAAGGUUCUCUGUGGAUCUUGUCCAGAUGAGCAGUGUCAAGCCAAAUUGUUUUUUCCUGCCUAUGACAAGAGUGUGGAAUGCACAGGCUGUGGAAAACGACAUGAGCAGACAUCGCUACAAAACAUCGCUGAAGUCACUAAUCCUAGCGUAGCAUUACACAACAUCUUAAAAAACAUCCUCCUGGGAAAUGUGAAGCCUAAGAAAGGAACUGAUGAUGUCAAAGUUCUUGGCCUGUCAAAUUAUGUUUGUAAAUCUAUUUCUCCAAUUCUGACACGAUAUGGAAUGGACAAGAGAACAGGGAAGGCAAAACUUCUCAAAGAACUUUCACAGCAAGACAUUUUCAAUUGUGGAAAGAUUCUCGGUGAUCGUGCUUUCCUCAUUGAGGAGGAGAACUUGGAGGUGAUUGGGUACGGAAGAGAUCGAUCUGGAAGUGUAAGAUACUUAGCAGACAUUCUAAAAGAACUAAAAAUCUACAAUGACCAGGAAGAACGUCUUGUCCCUAUACACGCCGAUGGAGAUGGACAUUGCCUUGUUCAUGCUGUUUCCCGAGCGUUGGUCGGCAGGGAAUUGUUCUGGCAUGCUCUACGACUGAAUUUAGCUGACCAUUUCCAGACAAAUUUAUCCCGGUACAAGGAACAUUUUAGAGAAUUCAUAGACACCAAUGAGUGGGAUUAUAUCAUUGGAGAAUGUGAUCCAGACUUUAUUCCCCGUGACGGAGAACCAUUGGGUCUUAGAAACAUUCAUGUGUUUGGUCUGGCCAACGUUCUCCAUAGGCCUGUCAUACUCUUGGAUUCCUACCUUGGCAUGCAGAGCUCAGGAGACUAUUCUGGUGUUUUUUUGCCCGCCCUUGUUGAGCCAGAAGCCUGCAAGAGUCGAGAUGGUACACUCAACAAACCACUGUGUAUUGCCUGGAGCAGUGCUGGACACAACCAUUACAUUCCUCUCGUAGGAAUCAAAGGAAAGAAUCUGCCGAACUUACCUCGAUCUAUGAUCCAACGAGCUUGGGGAGUUCCUUCCGAUUUGAUUGAUAAGUACAUAGAGUUUGACCAAUCAGACCUUUGCAGAGUAGGAGGGAACAAGUGUUUGUCAGACAAGUACAUUCGUCAGCUGGUGUCGGCCAUGGACGAAGUGUUUGUACAGAAGAAUGGCGUGCCUCCUCAGCUUGUGGCUGACGUACACCAGUUCCUGUACAAGUCUUCAGGUAUUGUCGGGGUUAAACUGGAAGAAGUGAUAGAAACAACAAAAACUGCCAUAGAGGAGCAUGUUCUGUACCGAUGUCUCACCUGUGAGGCCCUGAUCAGGUAUCAUCUUCCCUCGGAGUGGUUCCGGCGCGGGGGCAGUCUGUAUGACCUUGCAGUUAAGACGCACAAGGAUCUACUAACGGACAAGAAAUACGUCUUCCCAUAUCAAGGGGUGACAUGCAUGUACAACAAAGAAAAAGACAUUCUGGUCCCAGAUAAAGACACUUCAAGGUUGAAGACAUGCUCCUUUUGCCAAGGUGACAGCGUGCGUCUGGUCAAUACCGAUGGGGGUGUGCAGUACUUUAACGGCGACCGUACAUUGGCCCGGUCUACAUCUGGCAGGUGUGCCUGCGGCUUCAAACACUACUGGGACGGCAAGGAAUACGACAACAUUCCAGAGAUAUUCCCUGUGACCCUACAGUGGAACGGUAAAGUGGUCGAGGAGAAAGUGGCCUGGUUCCAGUAUGAGACAGACCCGACCAUGAACAGUAACGUGUUCCAAGUAUCACAAAAACUAGUCCAGAAACAUUUUCCAGGUGAAUUUGGUAGUGAACGACUUGUCCAACAGGUAGUCGACACCAUCUUACGCAACACUGCCAGUCAGGAGACCAGUCAACUGGAGGAAGCCGAGGGAUCACAGGAUGUUGACAUGGCUGAUGACCCUCUGUGGUCAUCUGAUAUACCCUCUAAAAUCAUACUGACCGGUUAUAAGCAAAAAACCCUACACAAAGAGGAGUUGACCAUGAGUGAGACGGAGAAAAAUGUUCGUAAGCAAGUGGAGAGUCAGGCUCCGAAACAUCAACAGAGAAAGACAAAGGAGAUUGCUGCCCUAGCCGCCAAGUCCAGUCCAAAAAAGUCAAAAUCUGAUAUCACUGCGAAGAAAACAGAAAAUGUCAGCCCUUCUCAUGUUCCGAUGGAAACUACACAAGCAACGAAGAAUAGGCAGAAAAAGGUUCGCUUGGCAACUUCUGAUGGAAGACAGGUCAUGUUGACCCUAGAGAAGGAUUUGACUUUUGAUGACCUUCAACAAAUGAUUCAAUCAUCUGUUGAUGUCCCUCCCCACCGACAGAAAAUCAGGGUUGGGUUUCCACCGAAGGAGCUUAAGCCUCCGGCUGAAUCAGAUUCAGAUCAAAUUAUCAACCUUCAACACGGAGACAAGAUUGCUCUAGAGGUGCUGCCUGACCCUGUGUUACCUGCGGGAAGGUCAAAGUCGUUCAGUGCUGUGUCCGCCUCGCCUGCAGCAAGCAAGCCGCGGUUGAGUUGGAGCCACUUUGAACAGGACACCCACCAAGCCUCGGCCGAUACCCUCCUACAGAGUCUAAAGAAUGCACAGGAAGCUAAUGACACUUUAGAUGCCAGUAUUGCGUCGCUCGCGAUCAUGGCAACCAUUUCUGGCAAGGAUCUUUGGACCCAGGUACAGAGCAUGCCUCAUCUGUUCUCUGUUGGGGGUCUAUUCUACAAACAGGUAGAGCGUGAUCUCGGACUGGUGGAUGGUAAACACUGCCAGCUUCCGUCUCUCGAAGGAAAGGUUUUCCGUUAUAAUGCCAAAGAAGGGAGACUUGAGCUCUGCAUGGAACCUUAUGGCCAUUUCCAGGUAGAACCUGGCGUUGAUAGAAAAGUGGCACAGCUGAAGGAACAGGAAGAGAAGAUAACAUUCGGAAGCAGUGGAGCUGUUAAACAUGACACUAAAAGACAGGCGGCCUUUUCUGGUGAGGGACAUUCCUUACAGGCCAUGAAUAUUGAACGAAUGCCUAGCAACAUUCAAGACAUGACUACCCAUCAUCACCAUGGCAACCAUCACAAUACUGUCAGAAAUAUGCAGACAAUGUGUAGUCCUAGCAAACAUGAAACUGCUAUACCUGAAGAAAUGGUUACGGAGAGCUCUACGAAGGGGAAUAACUCUAGUGAAGAAGGGAGGAAGUACCAGAGACUUGGGCCAGGCUACAGUGUUCUCGACCCCAAUCUUGCUGACAACACCAGUCAGAAUGCCCAGUUUUUCAAGGAAAUUGCAGAUAGUAUGGAAAAAUCCAUGCAGGAGAUUGAUCAAGAGAUGGAACGUAUUGAUGAUGACGAACAGAAGAAGCAGUUUCGUGGCACAGCUGCAAAUGUGAUUGCUGAAGCACGACCCGAAGUCAACGUCCAGCCUCGUGUGCAACUUGAAAAUAAGGACAUAGUUAGGUCGUCUACGACAGAACAGUCGUCGGCUGACUUGACGCUUCCUGAUGCUUUAGAGAUUGAGAAGAAUCAAGAAGAAGUUCAAACGUCAGAAAGUUUAAAUGUUGGAAUUUCAGAUGGAGAAAAACCAGACACUGAAAGUGAAAGUGAAAGUAAAAGUCCUAUUAACGAAUGUAUUGAUAUUAGUGCUUCUGGGGUUUCAGAAACUUGUUCUUCUCAAACACCUUCUACCGUGGAAAUUCCUGGUGCUGGUGCCUUGCCAGAACUAGAGGAAAAGGAACCAGAGAAAUCCCAAGAGAUAAUAUAUGACAGAGUCGGGGAUUUCACAGUAACAAGUGCGGACACCCUGGAAAAAGACAAAAGAGCGGAUAGUGAAACGACACAGGACAGCUCUUCAACAAAACCAGAAAAUGUUGAAGAGGAAACAAAAAUGGCCAAGUCUCAUGACAUUGUAUAGUUAACACAACUUGGCUAGUGUGAAGCACUGUAAACAAACUUGUAUUGGCCAAUGCAUGUACCUCGGUCUACAAUUUAAGUAAGAAAGUCAUUUAGUGGAUCAACCCUUUUCUGAAACCAACAUGUGCAUGUGCUGAUACUGUCAAAGUCAUGUUUUAGUGGGGUUCUAAUUUUUCGUGAUUUUCGCAGUGACAAUUUUUCCAUGAAAAAUACAACCCCUCUCUUACCAUCGGACUAAGUGUCAUGGCUAGCAAAGCUAAAAAUACGAAAAAAUUAACCUUUUAGUACAAAUCCUAAAAAAUCAUAUUAAAACCAGCAGUGUAUAGGUCAAGCUCUAGAACAGCUGACCUGCAGUGUAUAGGUCAAGUACUAGAACAGCUGACCAGCAGUGUAUAGUUCAAGAACUAGCAAAGCUGACCAGCAGUGUAUAGGUCAAUUGCUAGCACAGCUGACCCGCAGUGUAUAGGUCAAGUACUAGCACAGCUGACCAGUAGUGUUUAGGUCAAGUACUAGAACAGCUGACCAGCAGUGUAUAGGUCAAGAACUAGCAGAGCUGACCAGCAGUGUAAAGGUCAAGUACUAGAACAGCUGACCAGCAGUGUAUAGGUCAAGCUCUAAAACAGCUGACCCGCAGUGUAAAGGUCAAGCUCUAAAACAGCUGACCCGCAGUGUAUAGGUCAAGAACUAGCACAGCUGACCAGCAGUGUAUAGGUCAAGUACUAGCACAGCUGACCAGCAGUGUAUAGGUCAAGAACUAGCACAGCUGACCAGCAGUGUAUAGGUCAAGUACUAGAACAGCUGACCUGCAGUGUAAAGGUCAAGCACUAGAACAGUUGACCAAGUACUAGCACAGCUGACCAGUAGUGUUUAGGUCAAGCACUAGAACAGCUGACCAACGGUAUAUAGGUCAAGCACUAGAACAGUUCACCAGUAGUGUAUAGAUUGGACAAUACAACAAUUGAACAUUAGUGGAACAGUACAAGUCUUAUACUAAAACAAACAAUUUGACCUGUUUAUUAUGAUAGAAGAAAAUUCAUCAAAAGAAAAUUGCUCAAGAAAGACAAUUGACAUUGUUACACAAUUGCAAUGUCAUACAUGGCCAAUAUACUAUGUCAUGCAUGAGUAAUGUUCAAAGUCAUACAUGGUAAAUAUACUAUGUCAUACAUGAGUAAUGUUCAAUGUCAUACAUGGUAAAUAUACAUUGUCAUACAUGAGUAAUGUUCAAUGUCAUACAUGGUAAUUAUACAUUGUCAUACAUGAGUAAUGUUCAUUGUCAUACAUGGUGUCAUACGUUAUCAUACAUUGGUCAUGUAGUGUUAUACAGUAGUGUUAUACAGUAGUGUUAUACAGUAUUGUUAUACAGUAGAACCCUGGUCAUCUAGCCCAAAAGUUGGACAAUUUGAAAAUGCAUUUUUCUUAGGAAAUGCUAAUGUACAACAUUUCUGCAUUCGUCAAGAAAAGUCACCAUUUCAAAGAUAUUCUUUUCUCUUCAAAAGUGUCCAGACUAUGAAGUGUAUAGGUCAAGAACUAGCACAGCUGGCCAGCAGUGUAUAGAUUGGACAAUGCAACAAUUGAACAUUAGUGGGACAGUAUAAGUCUUAUACAAAAACAAACAAUUUGGCCUGUUUAUUAUGGUAGAAGAAAAUUCAUAAAAAGAAAAUUGCUCCAGAAAGACAAUUGUACAUUGUGACACAAUUGCAAUGUCAUACAUGGCCAAUAUACUAUGUCAUACAUGAUUAAUGUUCAAUGUCAUACAUGGUAAAUAUACAUUGUCAUACAUGGUGUCAUACGUUAUCAUACAUUGAUCAUGUAGUGUUAUACAGGAGAACCCUGGUAAUCGAGCCCAAAAGUUGGACAAUUUGAAAAAUGCAUUUUUCUUAGCAAAUGGUCAUGUACAACAUUUCUGCAUUCGUCAAGAAAAGACCUUCUUUUCUCUUCAAAAGUGUCCCGAGUACAAAGAUAGAACUGCAUGUUAUGAGCUAACAACAUAUUUAUUUGUCCUAGAACCACAAAUUAGGUUAAGAUUAUUUAUUAUGACGAUAUAUUACUUAAUGUGUAUACUUCAGUAUUUCAUGUUGCCAUAUUUCUAGGUCUUCAGAGCCAAACACUGUGACCUAAUGCCAUCAAUGUGUUUGUCCAUCUCUGUGUGCUAUGCAUUAUCAUUUCACAUUUUCCAAUUCUUCUCUAUAACCAGUUGAAAAACAAGAUAUUUGUCAAAUCUUUUGAUAGUGUGCCUUUUGCUUUCUGAAGUGAAAGGCUGUCAGCUUUGUCCAAUUGAUUGACCUUGACCUUCUUUCACAGGUCAUGGGGGUAAAUAUGUUAAAAAAUUAAACAACUUCUUCUUAAGAACAUUAAAAAGGCCUACAUUGAUAAUGAUUGGGUUGUAUCUAGGAUGGCUAUCAGAUUUGUUCAAGUAAAUUACCUUCACCCAGUUUUAGGUCUAGUAUCUUUUAAAAACUUCAAAUAGUUUCUUUCAAUGAUCCAAAAGGCCUGGAGUAAUUAUAUUUGUGAUAUAUAUAGCUAGGAUUAAGGAUGAACGCUAACACAAUUUUUGGAUGAAUUAUGUUAACCCACUUUCUAAGGUAAUUUCCCAAAUUAUCAAACAAUUUCUCCGACAGAGAUACAUAAUGUCUAGUAUAAACAUCAUGUUUUAUAUAUAUAUAUAUAAAAAAACCAUCAUUUUUAUAAUCAUCUUAAAUUUGACUCGAAUAUAUUCCAGAUGGGUUAACGUUUGACUCACUUUAAAACAUAGCAUUGAUUUAAUACUUUUUAAUCCACUCACCAAAGUAAACUAUAUAUCAACUACAUAUGUUUGGUCAUUAAAUAAUAUCUAAGAGCCAUUAAAUAAUAUCUAAGAGCCAUUAAUUAUUGUGCUGUGAAUAAGUUAAUUGAUAAAAAGAUCCAGGAAUAAAUACCCUAAAAUCUUUAUAAGAAGCCCCGGCUUAUUGUCAUUUUAGAAAGAAAUACCAGGCUUAUUUUCAAUGCUUGCUUAUUUUCAUUUUAGAAAGAAAUCCAAGGCUUAUUUGCAAAGCUGGCUUAUUUUCAUUUUAGUACGGAAACCCAGGCUUCUUUUCGAAGCCUGCUUAUUUGCAAUGAAGUCUUAUUUUUGAAAUCAUUUAGGCAGUAAGCCAUCAGUGGCUUAUCUUCCAGUCCUUCUUUUUUUUGCAUGGAAAAAUAACAAUUUUCUUCAGAAAAUCAAAUUAAUUUCUCUUUUUUUCUUAUAAAAUUGAUGCAAUAGUAAGUCAUGUGAAGUUAUAUUUACUUGUAAACCUGUUUAGGUUGACUAUUUUCAAAGACUUCUUUUUAUCAAGAUAUAUUUGACUGCAAGGAAUCCAGGGCUUACUUUCAAAAUAUGCCUAUUUUCAGAUCAGGCUUAUUAUCGAGAUUUUAGGGUGAAAUAUUUUGUUUCCGUCAAUAGCAGCAUUACCUCAUUCUGAAAUCAAUUUGACGAUUGCUCAGGCCUGUAUGUUCAAAUAUAGAGUCUUAGGCCAAUUUGAGUACCUAUUUAUUCAUUUUUAUACUUGGUAAUAGAUUACAGCAUAUAGGCAUUGUCAAUACAUCUAUAGAAAUAAAUCAAUGUUGUGAACUUAGGAGGAUAUGGAAAUGAUCAGAAUUUGUUAUGGCUGAUGAAAAUCAUUUUUUUUGCCCUGUAUGAUGUAUGCAUCAGUUGUACCAAUUUCAUAAUCGAUAUAAUUGGUUCCAUACUGAACUGAAGUGUCAAAUAUAUGUAAAGUUUGCAUUGAAAGUCAUUUAUUGUUAAUAUAUGAUUGAUGGUAAUGUAAAAAAAAUAAUGGAAGUGUAGAAAAAACCCACCUUUAAACAGAUUGCCCAUCACUAAUCAGAAUAAUUCUACAGUCAGUUUUCGAGGAAUUUCUUUAAAAACAGGAUAGCCCUCCACCACUGGAUCGCGGGUUCAAGGCCUAUGUGGGGCAGUCGCCAGGUAC